GGAAAAGGGGCAACAGAAAAUUGGACCUUCCAAGUGUACUUGUGGAGAUGCGGGCUGAGAAGGAGCGGAACCGGCACCCAGCAUGAUGAGAACAUCUGGUUGCUCCUCAGCGAGGCAAGAGAGAAUGAAGCGGCCUUGCAGCGGGAGGAGAUGGUCCAGAAUGCUGCCUUCAACCAGUCAUUCCUGGGUGUACUGGGGCAGCUGGUGCAGGCAGUGGGCAGCCAGUGAGUCCACCUCCCAGAGACUUGAGAUUUAGUUGUAUAUAGUUUUACUUUUAGCCCUCCACUGUAGGAGAGGCCCACCACAGUUUGUACUUUGCACAUUGUAAAUAGUUUUGAUUUUGCUGCUGACUAAUAAACUAUUUUGUGACUUAUG